rnacentral:misc_RNA from 1 species
GAGUCGAGGGUACCCGAAGCCGCUAGUCUAACCCGUAAGGGAGGACGGUGUCGAAGGUACGUUUGGUAAGGAGGGUGAAGUCGUAACAAGGUAGCCGUACCGGAAGGUGCGGCUGGAUCACCUCCUUUCUAUGAGAAAGGUCUUUUAUUCUUGAAGUACACAAGAAUAUCUCUGUCCAUGUUCUUUCCCUCUUCUCUUUUUUAUAUUUUAAUCAGGGGCCUGUAGCUCAGUUGGUUAGAGCACU